rnacentral:rRNA from 1 species
ACUACUGGAAACGGUAGCUAAUACCGCAUAAUGUCGCAAGACCAAAGUGGGGGACCUUCGGGCCUCAUGCCAUCAGAUGUGCCCAGAUGGGAUUAGCUAGUAGGUGGGGUAACGGCUCACCUAGGCGACGAUCCCUAGCUGGUCUGAGAGGAUGACCAGCCACACUGGAACUGAGACACGGUCCAGACUCCUACGGGAGGCAGCAGUGGGGAAUAUUGCACAAUGGGCGCAAGCCUGAUGCAGCCAUGCCGCGUGUAUGAAGAAGGCCUUCGGGUUGUAAAGUACUUUCAGCGGGGAGGAAGGCGAUAAGGUUAAUAACCUUGUCGAUUGACGUUACCCGCAGAAGAAGCACCGGCUAACUCCGUGCCAGC